UACGUAGGGUGCAAGCGUUGUCCGGAAUUAUUGGGCGUAAAGGGCUCGUAGGCGGUCCAUCGCGUCGGGAGUGAAAAGCUGGGGCUUAACCCCAGUCCUGCUUCCGAUACGGGUGGACUAGAGGUAGGUAGGGGAGAUCGGAAUUCCUGGUGUAGCGGUGAAAUGCGCAGAUAUCAGGAGGAACACCGGUGGCGAAGGCGGAUCUCUGGGCCUUAACUGACGCUGAGGAGCGAAAGCAUGGGGAGCGAACAGG
rnacentral:rRNA from 1 species